UACGUAGGGGGCAAGCGUUGUCCGGAUUUAUUGGGCGUAAAGCGCGUGCAGGCGGUCCGUUAAGUCGGCCGUGAAAGCUCCGGGCUCAACUCGGAGAGGUCGGGCGAGACUGGCGGACUGGAGGCGGGCAGAGGGCGGUGGAAUUCCGGGUGUAGUGGUGGAAUGCGUAGAGCUCCGGAGGAACACCAGUGGCGAAGGCGGCCGCCUGGGCCCGUCCUGACGCUGAGACGCGAAAGCGUGGGGAGCGAUCCGG
rnacentral:rRNA from 1 species